UUUUGAAACGAUAUUACUGAAAUAUUUAGUAUAAUUAGUUAAUAUUUAUUUUGUUAGAGUAGGUCUUGUGCUAAAUAGUGAUACUAGAAGCUACAUUUAUAAUAUUUACCUCAGUUAAAAAAUACUGCUGGUAACGUUAAAGCACUGACGGGCUUGUUAAAUACAUUUUGUUCCUGGUUUUAAUGAAUUACGUUACAGUCCUGCUUUAUUUCUUUGUCAUUUUCAAUUAAAUUGCCAAGCACAAUAAGACAGCUGUGUUGUAAGGAGACGAAAUUCGAGACAGGGGUGUUAUUUCAAUGAAGCGCGUGGUCAAAGGAACCGGGUGGAAGACGGUGGAAGGGAAAUUAUAUAUAACCAUGGUUAAUAAAUGGUCAGACACGUCACUGGCUUUAAAAUAUAAACCCCAUUGAUGCAAAAAGAUGCUGCAUGGAAUGACAAUGUGGUUUGGAACAGACUUGGUGAAGAACAUGGAAACAUCUCUUAAUAAAAUGGCCCCAAACAUCAUCAGGAGUGCAAAAGAAGGAAGUAAAAACAUCUCUACGCCAAUCUCAUUGGAGAGGAAACCACAGAAGGUCUGGUGAGGAAUGCUGCACUUAUGUUAUUGCAAGCAUUAUUUCAAGAAAAUCCCAGCUUCCUUUACUGUGUAAAUAGUGAACCCAAAGGUCCCACACCAACCAUAGUGUUCAACGGCUCUCCUGAUCUUUUCAAAUCUGAAUGUAUCAACUUUAUAAUGGACAAUGUGAACUUAAUAUGUGGAAGACAUUGACAUCACAGGCUGUGGAAUGACUGUGUCACAGGUCGGAGAAGCGGACCGCCCCUGUCGCGGAUCACGCUCCUCCUAGUUCCACCUCGAGGAGGUCCCAAAGCACCCCAAUGACCAGACAAACCAGAGGGGGAGUAUUACGGGGCCAGGGACGUUGGAGGGGUUUCCACGUGACUCCAGCUGGAACACCGCUACAGAGCGUAUCUAGGUGGGUUGGGCACACACCGUCGCGGCGGCCCCUGAUGGCAUCCACAAGGGUCCAAGACCCUCCUAAGCUCCUAGCCGUAGCAGAACUACGUAUUUCAGCACCCAAAGGACUAACAACCCAGCCGGCAUCUGCAGCGUAUAUCCAACGCGAUCAAACUUCACUCUGACAAGUAACUUCCUAUACACAACCACGCCGUCCUUUCGCCCGGACCAGCCCCGCACUCUUUCCGCCCGCUACCUAGCGGUCGCCGGAUCAGCAGAGCCUGCGGACUCUUCGGAGGCUGGUCUUCGUUGUGCUGCCCAAGGCGGAAGUUGACUCGCCCGAAAAUCUACCCUUUCAGUAACUUCUACCUUCUCUCUUUAUGUCCUCCUCCCAGGCGUGGCGAGCCUGGGAGGAGGAUAUAACAGCUGUGCCUUGUUUCAGCGAGUGCGGGGAUUCCCGGGGAACCCUGAAGUGCCGGUGUCUGUACAAACCGGUCCGGGCGGAACCUCUUCACUCUCCUUUUGGUUCCGCCCCGCAUAGUCACUCCGUGACAACUGUUUGCGUUUUUUUUUCUCUUCAAUGUUCAAUACCCUUUUGCCAUUAAGCACACAGUGACUUUAAUUUAUAAAAUAUAUGCUUAAGUUUUAAUACCUGUACAAAACAAAUGUACAAUCAACUUGUGUAAAUUUUAAUAAAAAUUUAA